rnacentral:rRNA from 1 species
UACGUAGGGUGCGAGCGUUGUCCGGAAUUAUUGGGCGUAAAGAGCUCGUAGGCGGUUUGUCGCGUCUGCCGUGAAAGUCCGGGGCUCAACUCCGGAUCUGCGGUGGGUACGGGCAGACUAGAGUGAUGUAGGGGAGACUGGAAUUCCUGGUGUAGCGGUGAAAUGCGCAGAUAUCAGGAGGAACACCGAUGGCGAAGGCAGGUCUCUGGGCCAUAACUGACGCUGAGAAGCGAAGCAUGGGGAGCGAACAGGA